rnacentral:rRNA from 1 species
GUAGGGGGCUAGCGUUGUCCGGAUUCAUUGGGCGUAAAGCGCGUGUAGGCGGCCAGAUAGGUCUGCUGUGAAAACUCGAGGCUCAACCUCGAGCUGUCGGCGGAAACCAUUUGGCUAGAGUCCGGAAGAGGAGAGUGGAAUUCCCGGUGUAGCGGUGAAAUGCGCAGAUAUCGGGAAGAACACCUGUGGCGAAGGCGGCUCUCUGGGACGGUACUGACGCUGAGACGCGAAAGCGUGGGGAGCAAACAGGAUUAGAUACCCUGGUAGUCCACGCCGUAAACGAUGGGUGCUAGGUGUGGGGAGUGUCGACUCUCUCCGUGCCGAAGCUAACGCAUUAAGCACCCCGCCUGGGGAGUACGGCCGCAAGGCUAAA